rnacentral:Y_RNA from 1 species
GGAUAGCCCAAUGGUAGCAUGUUAUUAGAACUUAUUAACACUUGUGUCACUGAAGUUGGUAUAUACAACCCUUACUGCUAAAUUUGGCUGGCUUUAA